rnacentral:rRNA from 1 species
AGCGAACGCUGGCGGCAGGCCUAACACAUGCAAGUCGAACGAACCCUUCGGGGUUAGUGGCGGACGGGUGAGUAACACGUGGGAACGUGCCUUUAGGUUCGGAAUAACUCAGGGAAACUUGUGCUAAUACCGAAUGUGCCCUUCGGGGGAAAGAUUUAUCGCCUUUAGAGCGGCCCGCGUCUGAUUAGCUAGUUGGUGAGGUAAUGGCUCACCAAGGCUACGAUCAGUAGCUGGUCUGAGAGGAUGACCAGCCACAUUGGGACUGAGACACGGCCCAAACUCCUACGGGAGGCAGCAGUGGGGAAUCUUGCGCAUGGGCGAAAGCCUGACGCAGCCAUGCCGCGUGGAUGAUGAAGGUCUUAGGAUUGUAAAAUCCUUUCACCGGUGAAGAUAAUGACUGUAGCCGGAGAAGAAGCCCCGGCUAACUUCGUGCCAGCAGCCGCCGUAACAC